rnacentral:lncRNA from 1 species
AACGUUGUGGUAAAAGGAAUUUAAUAAGUUAUUAAAUAAAUAAGCAGUUAGUGUUAUUACCGUUGUUUUAUUAUAGUUAAAUACUAAUCCGGAACAUUAUAGUGGCGACGAGGAUUUUCACUGUUUGUUAUUUUUCUUUAAAAAAAAUAUAGUGUUUUAAAAUAAACAUUUACAAAGAAAAACGUUUGAUAUUCCAUGAGCAGUACUUGAGUGCGUUAGGGCAAAAGUUUGCAAAAAACAAUAAUUUAAACUAUGGCGACAGAAAAUGUAGGUCAUUUACGCGAAUUUGAUCCGGCAAGUUCGGAUUGGUCGAUUUUCAAAAAAAGAAUAGAAAAUUAUUUUGUAGCUAAUGAUAUUAGAGAUGAGGGUCGAAAAAGGGCAAUCUUGUUAAAUAUAUUAAGUGAGGAUGCUUACAAAUUAGUCUUUGACUUAUGCAUUCCCGAAGAGCCUGAAAAGAAAUCAUAUACAUCUCCCAUAGACCUUAUGACCGAACAUUUUAAGCUAAAUGUCUCAGUAUUCGCGGGACGUUAUAAAUUUUAUACCGCUCGAAAAUUAGUGACUGAAAGUGCUAAAGAGUGGGCAGCCAAGCUUCGAAAUUUGGCUUCAGUGUGUGAUUUGUUUGCUAUCAAGCUAAUUUUUUUUUUAAAUUAAAGUCAAAUUAACGUUUACCCAAUUUUGUUUUUUUUUAUUUGUUAAAUAAUAAGAAACUAAAACUUGUUAUUUUCAGAAGCAUAAUUUUGAGCAAUCGACAAAAAAGUUGAUUUAUGAAAAUUUGUGUAUACAUGCAGCGUAUGAAAUGAAGCCAAUAGUUUAUAAAAGUUUAAAAAAAAAUUUUUUUUUAAAUAUCUUUGAUAGUAUUGAGUCAGCGAAUUUUUUUUUAUAGGCCAGAGUUGAGCCCUUCGCUUUGGCGCUGCCGGCGGCGGCGGCGGGCUAUAAAUAGUAUUGCAGUAUUAUUGUAUUAUUCGUAGGCGCCUGCAGUAUUAAUCGAAAGUAAUUUCUACUAGACUCAGUUGUUUCAUGUUUGUGUUAUUAUUUACUUUUGCCCAAGACAAUGGAGUGCAUUAUAUGUAAGAAAACUGUGUAUAAUAAAAACUGUGUAUAAUAGUGACAAAUCUGUGAUACAGAACCCAAGAAUACAAAGUUUGGUGUCUUUAAUAUCAAGUGCAGAAAAAAAGGCAAGAUAAUAUUGGAAAAGAAAUUCUGGCAAAAAAAAUCUAUCUUAAAUGGCACACUAACAGUAAAAUAUCAUAUAGACUGUCGUAAAUCUUACACGAGUUUUCAAAAUAUUGAUAAUAAUAAUAAUAGGGACAAAGUAUAUAGAUUUCAAGUAUAUAGAUUUGUUAGACUGUGAUAGGGAGUUAGAAAGUGGUGUCGGUCCUUCGAAUUAUUCCGCUAAGCGUUUUAGGUCCGAUGGUUUUGAUGUUAGGAAAAUGUGCCUUAUUUGCAACAGUAGUGGAACUAAAAAAAAGAAAAACUUGGUUGCCGUUCAAACAGGCAAUGGAAAAAAAAUAUAAUCAUUCUUCAAAAAUUGUCUGAUUUGCCAUUGCUAUCUAAUGAAGAGGCAUUAAAGAUUGUAACAAAGCUAGUCCUUCUAUUAUAUAGAAAUAAAGAUAAAGAUAUCCAGAAAUUAAUCGAUCUAAGGGUUAAGCUAGCGACAUUAACAAAUAAACCAUCAUCGGAACUUCCUCCAACUGAAGGCGCUUUUUAUCAGCAUUUUUUAAGGUGUAUGUAUCAACUUCGAAUAUGGUAUAGCAGUGAUAUCCCAAUGCCAAGUAUAAAUACAAACGCGUCAGGAUGGAAUUUAACUGAAGAUGUAUGGACUCUAGUUUUUUCGGAUGAUAAGCCAAUUCCAGAUUUUGUUCGAAAAUCAAUAAAUAUUUAUUGUUCUGAUAAAAACUGUAACAAUAAAAAAUGUACUUGCAUCAAAGAGGGUUUAAAAUGUUGUAUCGAGUGCAAAUGCCGUUUUUAUAGUAACGUUCUUGAAAAUAUCGAGAUGGAUGCGGAUGAUAACAACGAAUUAGAAUAUUAUUAGUGUAGCGUUUAUUAAACAACCACAACAUAACCAUUAUAUUUAGCUAUAUUUAUUUAUCCAAAUAAGAGUUUUAUUUCAAAAAACUUGUUUAUACUCAUUGUUACUUCAAUAAUACAUGUAAGUAGGUAUGUACCUAUGUGUGAGGCAAUUAAUCCAUUUAUUUAUUUAGCAGUAAAUUAUCAUUUUUAAUUUAUUAUAAUAUAGAUCGGUACCUAUGUAUGUAUAUAUAUGGGUAUAUUAUACAUAUACAAAGCCAACUAAAUAUUUAAAAUGAAACACAUCAGUACGUACUUAUUAUUACAAACUUUGCGCCAUCAUGCGUCAGUCACUUCGAUACCCAAUCGUUGCAGCGGACUCGACAUGAUAGCCGCGCUAAGCGCGCAAAUCCAAUUUUGCCCAUAAAAAAAAUUCACUGACUCAAUACUAUCAAAGAUAUAUGAAAAAUGUUUUUUUCAAAAACUUUUAUUAACUAUUGGCUUCAUUUCAUACGCAGCAUGUAUACAC